AUGUUUGGGGAAGCAUCAGGUCUGCGGAUCAACUGUACAAAAUCUUGGGCCAUUGUGACCAGAGGGGAUCACCGUGACCAUGAUGAGGAGAGAAUCGCUCCUAUCCUACAGCGUUCCAUUGGCGCUUUUCCCUGCAAGUAUUUGGGGCUUCAGUUAUCUAUUUUAUCUCUCACUAAAGCCGAAUGGCAGCCUACCCUGGAUUCCAUUAGGGCCUGCGCCCCAGCAUGGCAACGAGGCCUCAUAAACAGAGCCGGCAGACUGGUCCUUGUGGAUUCAGUCCCAUCUGCUCGACCCGCUCAUCAUCUGCUGAUUUCUGAAGCUCCGAAGUGGACAAUUCUUCAACUUGAAAAGUGGCUGCGUGCUUUCUUUUGGGCAGGGACGGAGAUAGUGCAAGGAGACAAAUGCUUGGUUUCUUUUGGAUGA
rnacentral:rRNA from 1 species